CAAUGCUUUGAUGGUGUAGCCGAAGUCUGUAUGAGUUUUUAG
rnacentral:sRNA from 1 species